rfam:Camelus ferus unplaced genomic scaffold scaffold94, whole genome shotgun sequence.
GAGGGUAUAGCUCAAGUGGUAGAGCGCAAGCUUAGCAUGCACAAGGUCCUGGGUUCAAUCCCCAGUACCUCCU